ACGACCUUACUUGAACAGGAUCUGUUCUAUAGGAUCGUACCGUUGCAUCCUUGAUUAAUAAGGAGGCAAGCACUUAAGCCUGGUUGAUGAGUCAUGACCUGUGGGCCAGAGCGUGACUAACGGCUAGGAUUGGCUCUGAUGCUUUGUCCUUAAGCUGUAGAGGAUCGUUCCCGUCAGGCUUGCUUGACUUGGGGUGGCCCAUAGGUUGUCUGACAGGCU
rfam:Zea mays cultivar B73 chromosome 2, whole genome shotgun sequence.